UGAAUACGAGACGCUAAGGCGUCGAAGUAGUGUAUGUCAUACUUCCAAGAAAAGCUUGCACUGUCAUAGAUAAAAAACGCCUGUACAUAACCGACACAGGUGGGUAGGUAGGGUAUACUAAGGGGCGCGAGAUAACUCUCUCUAAGGAACUCGGCAAAAUAACUCCGUAACUUCGGGAGAAGGAGUGCCUUAUUCGUAAGGUUGCAAUAACAAGAUCCAAGCAACUGUUUAUCAAAAACACAGGUCUCCGCUAAGUCGUAAGACGAUGUAUGGGGGCUGACGCCUGCCCAGUGCCAGAAGGUUAAAGAAGUUGGUUAGCAAUUGCGAAGCUGAUAACUGAAGCCCUGGUGAACGGCGGCCGUAACAAUAACGGUCCUAAGGUAGCGAAAUUCCUUGUCGGGUAAGUUCCGACCCGCACGAAAGGCGUAAUGAUUUGGAUACUGUCUCGGAGAGGGGCUCGGUGAAAUAGACUUGUCUGUGAAGAUGCGGACUACCUGCACCAGGACAGAAAGACCCUAUGAAGCUUCACUGUAACUUGAAAUUGAAAUUGGACUUUAUUCGCGCAGUAUAGGUGGGAGGCGUUGAUUAUAAUCUUGUGGGAUUAUUGGAUCCAUCAGUGAGAUACCACUCUUGUAAUGUUAGAUUUCUAACUUUGAAUCAUUAUCUGGUCAAAGAACAGUUUCAGGCGGGCAGUUUGACUGGGGCGGUCGCCUCCUAAACGGUAACGGAGGCGUACAAAGGUUUCCUCUGAACGGUUAGAAAUCGUAUCUAGAGUGUAAAGGCAUAAGGAAGCUUGACUGUGAGACCUACAAGUCGAGCAGGGACGAAAGUCGGUCUUAGUGAUCUGACGGUACUGAGUGGAAAGGCCGUCACUCAACGGAUAAAAGUUACUCUAGGAUAACAGGCUGAUCUCCCCCAAGAGUUCACAUCGACGGGGAGGUUUGGCACCUCGAUGUCGGCUCAUCGCAUCCUGGGGCGGUAGUACGUCCCAAGGGUUGGGCUGUUCGCCCAUGAAAGCGGUACGCGAGCUGGGUUCAGAACGUCGUGAGACAGUUCGGUCCAUAUCCGGUGUAGGCGUUAGAAUAUUGAGAGGAGCCUUCUUUAGUACGAGAGGACCGAGAAGGACAUACCUCUGGUGUACCAGUUAUCGUGCCAACGGUAAACGCUGGGUAGCUAUGUAUGGAGUGGAUAACCGCUGAAAGCAUCUAAGUGGGAAGCCCACCUCAAGAUAAGUAUUCUCAU
rnacentral:rRNA from 1 species